rnacentral:tRNA from 1 species
GGAUCAGCAUGCCCGAGUAUCCGUUCAAGACCUUGGACACACCUCCGCCCAGGUUCACCCCAUGGAGGUGGUUUAACGAGGCGUGCGCUACCCGCCAGGAGGCAGCGACCCCGUAGGUCCAGCGACUGGGUGAGUCGUACAAGGUAGCCCGYAAKGGGWMCYUUGCGGCUGGAUYACCCUUCCSUUUUCUAAGGAAGCUUGUGGAACUGGUAAGACGCUGAGACCUGUUCUCAGAUGAACCUUCCCGUGCUUUUUAGAACAUAGAUGGCACCCAGUCAGGUGACCAUCGCAACGUAAUACGCCGGCCACAUUGUUGUCCGGUAUGGCGGUUCUCGCCGUCCACGUUUCUCUUUCUUCAAAAGGAUAUCGAACCCCGCUUGAUUGCGGUCGUGUUCUACCAGGGAAUGGGCCCGUAGCUCAGGUGGUUAGAGCGCACGCCUGAUAAGCGUGAGGUCGGCAGUUCGAGUCUGCCCGGGCCCACCAUUCUGGUUAAGUCUGGUUGGGAUUUGGUGCUGACUGUCGAAACGGUUGGGGCUGUAGCUCAGCUGGGAGAGCACCUGCUUUGCAAGCAGGGGGUCAGCGGUUCGAUCCCGCUCAGCUCCACCAAUUCGACUGGUGUUGAGACGAGCGAAGAUAUCCUUUGAAGAAAAAUAGGUUUGCGCCUUUGAUCGCGAUUGCGAUUGGAUGGUGCCUGUUCUGCAAAAAUUGUGAAGAGAAGAUACGUCUGGAGGCUUCCAGGUGUUUGGGAUGAAAAUCCUGAACGUCCGGACCUUGGGCUCAUGAUCUUGUUUAGGAUUUAGUCGAUCCUGGAUGAGGGAGGUCCUUGGAGUGGAAGGAAGCCCUGUCUGAAAGGUAUCUGGUUGUUGGUGACGCAAGUUGCCUCUGGCCGGAUGCUGGAUUGAUGUUGCCUGACCGCGCAUCACCGGACGUUAUCUCGAAGAAGCUGGUCUUAUGAUCCCGGCCUUGAAGCUGCUCGGCGUAGCUUCCGAUUARGGACCGGGAUCAGACGCGUCGAUGGCAUUAUGAAUGUUCCGGKUGUUAAAGGUAGCCGGRACUGCAUCCCUUGUGGAUGCUAAAUGAUGAAGCAUUGGCCAAUGGAGAACGAUUAAGUGUCGUAAGGSMAUUUGGUGGAAUGCCUUUGSCAUGCAACAGGCCAAGAAGGGACGUGARYMCCSCCUGCCAUUAAGCCUGUGGGAAGCUGGCGAAUGAAGCUUUGGAUCCAUGGAAUUUCCGGAAUGGGGCCAACUCCGGA